AUCCUCUCAUUGUCACACCUGGAGAGUUUCCAGUACUCGACCAGUCUUGGCUACCGGAGGGUGAGUCAAGCAGAGGCAUACUCAUUCCAUUCCUAUCUUGGCAGUGGAUAGUGAGUGGAAAGCAAUCUGCUACAAGU